rnacentral:rRNA from 1 species
GAUUAAGAGCUUGCUCUUAUGAAGUUAGCGGCGGACGGGUGAGUAACACGUGGGUAACCUGCCCAUAAGACUGGGAUAACUCCGGGAAACCGGGGCUAAUACCGGAUAACAUUUUGAACCGCAUGGUUCAAAAUUGAAAGGCGGCUUCGGCUGUCACUUAUGGAUGGACCCGCGUCGCAUUAGCUAGUUGGUGAGGUAACGGCUCACCAAGGCAACGAUGCGUAGCCGACCUGAGAGGGUGAUCGGCCACACUGGGACUGAGACACGGCCCAGACUCCUACGGGAGGCAGCAGUAGGGAAUCUUCCGCAAUGGACGAAAGUCUGACGGAGCAACGCCGCGUGAGUGAUGAAGGCUUUCGGGUCGUAAAACUCUGUUGUUAGGGAAGAACAAGUGCUAGUUGAAUAGGCUGGCACCUUGACGGUACCUAACCAAAAAGCCACGGCUAACUACGUGCCAGCACCCGCGGUAAUACUUAGGUGGCAAGCGUUAUCCGGAAUUAUUGGGCGUAAAGCGCGCGCAGGUGGUUUCUUAAGUCUGAUGUGAAAGCCCACGGCUCAACCGUGAAGGGUCAUUGGAAACUGGGAGACUUGAGUGCAAAAAAGGAAAGUGGAAUUCCAUGUGUAGCGGUGAA